GGGUGGUUCAUGGAUGUUUUUCACGUUACCGACCAACAUGGCAAUAAAGUCACAGAUAGAAACACUAUUGGUUAUAUAGAAAAAGUAAGGCUCUUGGACCAAAGGGUUACACAU